rnacentral:rRNA from 1 species
UGAGAUUUAAAGAGCCGCAGUAUCCUGACUGUGCUAAGGUAGCAUAAUCAUUAGUCUUUUAAUUGGAGACUGGUAUGAAUGGUUAAACGAGAAAUCAACUUUUUUUGUUGUAAAGCUUGAAUUUAACUUUUUAGUGAAAAGGCUAAAAUUUUUCAAAAAGACGAGAAGACCCUAUAGAGUUUUAUAAUUAAGGGAAUAUUUCUUUCUUAGAUUUUUAUGAGAGGUAUUUACUGUAGUUAUUUUGUUGGGGCGACAUUUAGAUAUAAAAAACUCUUUAUUUUUAAAACUUUUAUGAAAGGUAAAUUGAUCCUUUAAAAAAGAUCAUAAGAAAAAAUUACCUUAGGGAUAACAGCGUAAUCUUUUUUGAGAGUUCUAAUCGACAAAAAGGUUUGCGACCUCGAUGUUGGACUAAAAUUAAGGCAGGGUGCAGCAGUUCUGCUAUAAGGUCUGUUCGACCUAUAAUUUUUUACACGAUCUGAGUUCAGACCGGCGUAAGCCAGGUUG